AUGCUCGCUUUGGCAACACAUAUACUAAAAUUGGAAUGGCACAGAGAAGAUUAGUAUGGCCCCUGUGCAAGGAUGACACGCUAAUUUGUGAAGCAGCCAGUAUUUGA